CCUACGGGUGGCUGCAGUGGGGAAUAUUGCACAAUGGGGGAAACCCUGAUGCAGCGACGCCGCGUGAGUGAAGAAGUAAUUCGUUACGUAAAGCUCUAUCAGCCGGGAAGAAACACUGCCCUUACGGUCAGCAGACGGUACCCGAGUAAGAAGCCCAGGCUAACUCCGUGCCAGCAGCCGCGGUCAUACGUAGGGGGCAAGCGUUAUCCGGAUGUUCUGGGUGUAAAGGGAGCGUAGACGGUGCUGCAAGUGUGGAGGGAAAUGCCGCGGCUUAAAUGCGGAACUGUUUUGUAAACUGGCGAACUAGAGUGAGGGAGGGGUAAGCGGAAGUCCUAGUGUAGCGGGGAAAUGCGUAGAUAUUAGGAGGAACACCGGUGGCGAAGGCGGCUUACUGGACCUUAACUGACGCUGAGGCUCGAAAGCGUGGGGAGCAAACAGGAGUAGAUACCCGUGUAGUC
rnacentral:rRNA from 1 species